rnacentral:lncRNA from 1 species
AGCACGACACCUUUCCAUACCACAUUCAUUAUUCCGUCAACAGCAAAAGUAUCCCAUAUCAUCAAGGUCGAACAUGCUCUAGAUUUGAUGGACUUGUUUUGACCCUCAAAUUUUUGAGUCGGCCUUAUACUCUGAAUGGCACCAGAAAACCCUCUAGCACAGUUCAAGAAUAAGCCUGUGGAAAGUUACUUCUUCAAAAGCAAAAGUAUCUCAUAUCAUCUCUUAUCCAUUUGCUUCUCCUUAUCCUGGCAGUUGAAUGAGAGACAAUGAGAAGGAGAACAAUCAACCGGAAGCCGAAGUCAAACCUCUGAUCCUGGGUUGCUUACUUGGAAGUUUGACUGC